GAUGCAGGAUAUUUAUGACG
rnacentral:miRNA from 1 species